rnacentral:rRNA from 1 species
UACGUAGGUGGCAAGCGUUGUCCGGAAUUACUGGGUGUAAAGGGAGCGCAGGCGGGAAGCCAAGUCAGCUGUGAAAACUACGGGCUUAACUUGUAGACUGCGGUUGAAACUGGUUUUCUUGAGUGAAGUAGAGGUUGGCGGAAUUCCGAGUGUAGCGGUGAAAUGCGUAGAUAUUCGGAGGAACACCGGUGGCGAAGGCGGCCAACUGGGCUUUAACUGACGCUGAGGCUCGAAAGUGUGGGGAGCAAACAGG